rnacentral:misc_RNA from 1 species
GAACUUAUAAUUCAAUUCGUCGAAAUUUGUUUAGCCCACAAUGCGAAUAUGCUUCCACAGUCAACGCUCUCCAAUACAGAAGUGAACGAGCUUUAUAUUCAGUUGAUAUGUGCAAUUUGUGCCGAGGUAUGCCAUAGAGCUGUUAAACUAUCAUGCUGCCAAUCACAGGCGUGUCGUGGCUGUGCUACAAGAGAAAUAAUAAAAACUAAAAAAUGUUGGGUUUGUUCCACCUCGCAAACAACCAAACAGCUCAACAAUGACGAAACUCUUCGCAUGCGAAUUGAAGAGUUUAAAAAAAUGGCGCUAGACGAAAAAUCCAGAACGAAAUCCUCCAACCAGGCCCGGAGCACGUUGAAAAAAUCCGCAACGGCGGUUGAACUGACUAAAUCUGUCAAUGCCUUCCCACCGAAAAUCCCGGAAAAUCCAGCAACUCCUAAACCUGGCAGGAGCAAAUCCAGAUCAAGAUUAAACAAUCUUAACACUCAGUCCGUUAGUGUUCUGCCUACUGCCAAGAGAAAUGAGUUCAAAGACAUAGAUAAGGAGGUCAGGGACGGAGAUGAGGAGGUCAAAGAUGGAGAUGAGAUUGUCCAUACACCUAGGCGCAGUAGGUCUAAAUCUUCAACGCGAUUAAGAGCUCCGACAGCCAUGGAAGUAAUAUCAACUGUGGAAGAUGUUAAAGUUAAAGAAGUAAAGCCAAGAAAUCGCUCUAAAUCCGUCUCCAAUCUGAGAAAACAAGAAUUAGAUGUUAUUAACGCAAACAAUCAAAUAAACGGAAAUCAACCUAAUCCCACGGAACUAGUCAAAACAUUGCUAAAAAAUCCGCCACCGGAAAACGGAAGUAAUAAUGUAAAAUCCACCAAUGAAACCAAAAAUCCGCCAAUAAAUGGUUUCCAAAAUGGCGGAUCGACCAAUCCUCUGGGCACGUGGGAAAGUCACACAGCGGAUACACAUGUUAGUGUCAAUGAUGAGAAUAUUGCGCCGGAUAGAACUCCUACAGCCCCCAGAUCAAUGUCAAGAUUCUCUGGUGUAUCCCGUCUUAAGAAGGUUGGCGAAGAGAAAGCUAGUGCUAGGGGAAGAAAUAAGAAACUAGAUAUUCUUACUCAAGAAAAUACCCAAAGAAACGGUCAGCUUGACAUGCUCCCACUAUACACACCUGAAACAUUAAGUACAAACUGGAGCUCUGCUUACAUUGCACAGCCAAGAUCUGAAAUUAGAAAUCCUCGAGAUGAAUCUCAAAAUCCGCGAGAUGAAAAUAAAAAUCCACAAGAUGAAAGUACAAAUUUACGUGCUCCUUUGGAGUUCGUGACACCCAAGUCUAUUUGUCGAGGACGGGGAGGUCGGGAUCGGAGGAUAGGAUGGAGCGAAGUCAACAUUUACUAUUUCAAUAGAACCCAGGGGUUCUCCAGUGUGCCCAGAGAUGGUGGAAAUACCUUGGGGAUGGAGAUUAGACAUUCAGAUUUCAAGUCCUGGAAUAUUCAAGGUGACUCGGAUCCGCACGUAAAACGAAAACUCUUUGAUCCUACCGCUAAUCCUACAAAUGCCGAAGAUCUUACCUCAUCCGCUGAUCCUUUAGUCACUAAUCCUUUACCAGCUUGUGAUCCAUCUCGAGAUUAUAUAUCAACCUCCGUCUCGAUGCUAUCUUCCUUUCAUCUUCAGCCUAACACCACCACCUCCUCCCUGUGCCUCUAUCCGUCCACCUCCUCCUUCCAUCUCCAGCCUAGCUCCACAACCUCUUCCUUCCAUGUUCAAUCCUCAACUAACUCCUCCUCCCUCCGCUCCUAUCCUUCCACUACUAGCUUUACCAAAGUGCACAGCUGUCCCUCACACCUUUCCUCCGUUCCUCUCAUCUCCCUGGAUGAGGAGGAUGAAGAGAUCUCGUUCAAGUCUCCUGUGAAGGGUGUGGAGGCGGUUAGUUUCUAUGCUCCCAGUUUUAUUGUUACUCCGGGACGUGAUACUGCUCUAGAUUCUUUACCUCAUCUUGGGACUGAACCCGCUCUUGAAUCUGAUAUUUCAAAGCCAGGCGGAGCAGACCCAGUAACUUGUAAACAAAUAAAUGUACCUGAACAUGAUAAACCUUCUUCACCCUUUAAACGCAGUCUUAGUCGAAGCUAUAGUGAAGAUACGCUUCUAUUCUCCGCCUCUUCGGAGCGGCGGAAGAGUAUCUCCCAGGAUCCGCCCAGGAAAGCACAUAAACCCUCAACAAGACUGAAAGACCAAGUUGAGAUGGAUGCCCAACCUCUGGAGGGAGGAGGAGACACACCCAACCUCCAAAUCAAUCGAUCCUCCUUCAAACCUCCAUCUGAUCCCUCCAAAGAUUUAACUAACACUACAGUACCUGAAAGCCCCCUCAUGCCUCCAAACCCCUUCACAGCUUCCUCCAAACCUACUUUGACCUCCUCCCAGUCCACCCUGACCUUGACCCCCGUGAAGAGUUUGACCUCUAUGAGGUCAAGUCCUAGUAUAGGGCUCGGGAAAGGUGGAAGGGUGGUUAAAGCGGCUAAACCUGAUUUUCUACGAAAAGCAACUCUGAAAACUUGUCAUGAGAAAGGUUUGGUUCGGUUUACCCGAUCUAGUGUUGAUUUAAAACAAGAGCUAGACAUUCCAGGUGGGAGCAAGUUAGAAAAACCGGAUAAAAAACUAAACAAAUCAAUUUCAAGAAACUGUCUUAGAUCUUUCCGUGAAUACCAUUUGUCCCCUCCUUCUGUAAAAGAGAGUGUCGGAGAAUCCAUGUUGACUCCUGAUAUGCUUUCAUCCUCUUCCUCAGUAUUCAGAUGUGUAGAGGAAAAGAUUGAUGAGCCUGUAUCUCCAGCUAAGGGAGAGUGUGGAACCCGAGGUUUAACCCCUCUAACCAACAGGAUGCGUAUCUGCCUGCUGAAGGCGAAUGGUGUAUCCGUCCUGGACAAGGCGGAGGCCGAGGAAGUUAAACUUCUCCGUGAGAGUAGGGAGAAGUGUGGCUGCCGCUGUCAAGGUGUGUGUGUAGAGGGUAGCUGUAGCUGUAUAGAUAACGAUAUAGAGUGUCAAAGUGAGAGACCUGGGUUUCCUUGUAGCUGUGCUCACAAGAACUGUGGAAACCCACAAGGACACAGGGUUUAUGAUAAGACUGAGGUUGAACUCCACUACAUCCAGACUAUCAUGAGUGUUCAGGGAGCAAUGAAUAUAUCAGGAGAAGAUCAUCAUUAACUCAUAGAUCAAGAUUAGAUUAAUCUAUCUCUCGGUCCAUGGGAUGAAGAACCUUAAAAAUCAAUAUCUUUAUACGAAUAUCAAGACAAUGUCGAGGAAUAUCAAAAGAUCAAGAUCAUGUACUUAAAAAGAUCAAUAAUCACUUAUCAUCGAAUUUAAGUAUUUGCUGUUCUAUAUUUAUGUUUAUUUAUGUAAUUAUUUUAAUCUUAAGCACACUUUUCUGUACAAUGUACAAUGUACAUAAGACCUGUUAUGUACAAAGAACAUACGAUCUUUUAUGUAAUUCUGCACUAUGUAAAAUAUGCACUCUUUAUUUUGUAAUUUUCAUAAAUUCCAGUUUUAGGCUUUAUUAAUUAUAAUUCAAUAGGUGUAAUACAAGUUAUUUGUUGAUAUAAAAUCUCAGCUGUA